UAGUGGGGAACUGGUGGUGGUGGAGGAGAAGUGUAGUAGUAUGGUGGAGGUGGAGAUUUCUUUGGUGGUGGGGGAGACACAUAAUAGUAUGGAGGAGGUGGUGAUUUAACUGGUGGAGGUGGAGAGGUGUAGUAGUAUGGUGGUGGUGGAGACUUCUUUGGUGGUGGGGGAGACACAUAAUGGUAUGGAGGUGGUGAUUUAACUGGUGGAGGUGGAGAGGUGUAGUAGUAUGGUGGUGGUGGAGACUUCUUUGGUGGUGGGGGAGACUCAUAAUGGUAUGGAGGAGGUGGUGAUUUAACUGGUGGAGGUGGAGAGGUGUAGUAGUAUGGUGGUGGUGGAGACUUCUUUGGUGGUGGGGGAGACACAUAAUAGUAUGGAGGAGGUGGUGAUUUAACUGGUGGAGGUGGAGAGGUGUAGUAGUAUGGUGGUGGAGGGGACUUCACUGGUGGUGGUGGAGAAGUGUAGUAGUAAGGAGGAGGUGGAGACUUAGUGG
rnacentral:lncRNA from 1 species